ACUUGGGUUUAGCCUCGGUAGGGUUUUCGUAGGGGGACCCCGUCGGGUGAGUAACACCUGGGCAACCUGCCUGUAAGACUGGGAUAACUCCGGGAAACCGGAGCUAAUACCGGAUACUAUGUCAAACCGCAUGGUUUGACAUUCAAAGACGGUUUCGGCUGUCACUUACAGAUGGGCCCGCGGCGCAUUAGCUAGUUGGUGAGGUAACGGCUCACCAAGGCGACGAUGCGUAGCCGACCUGAGAGGGUGAUCGGCCACACUGGGACUGAGACACGGCCCAGACUCCUACGGGAGGCAGCAGUAGGGAAUCUUCCGCAAUGGACGAAAGUCUGACGGAGCAACGCCGCGUGAGUGAUGAAGGUUUUCGGAUCGUAAAACUCUGUUGUCAGGGAAGAACAAGUGCCGGAGUAACUGCCGGCGCCUUGACGGUACCUGACCAGAAAGCCACGGCUAACUACGUGCCAGCAGCCGCGGUAAUACGUAGGUGGCAAGCGUUGUCCGGAAUUAUUGGGCGUAAAGCGCGCGCAGGCGGUUUCUUAAGUCUGAUGUGAAAGCCCCCGGCUCAACCGGGGAGGGUCAUUGGAAACUGGGAAACUUGAGUGCAGAAGAGGAGAGUGGAAUUCCACGUGUAGCGGUGAAAUGCGUAGAGAUGUGGAGGAACACCAGUGGCGAAGGCGACUCUCUGGUCUGUAACUGACGCUGAGGCGCGAAAGCGUGGGGAGCGAACAGGAUUAGAUACCCUGGUAGUCCACGCCGUAAACGAUGAGUGCUAAGUGUUAGAGGGUUUCCGCCCUUUAGUGCUGCAGCUAACGCAUUAAGCACUCCGCCUGGGGAGUACGGUCGCAAGACUGAAACUCAAAGGAAUUGACGGGGGCCCGCACAAGCGGUGGAGCAUGUGGUUUAAUUCUAAGCAACGCGAAGAAACUUACCAGGUCUUGACAUCCUUUUGCACUUCUAUAGAUAGAAAGGUCGCCUUCUUGGAACGAACAGACAGCUGGUGCAUGGAUUGCCCGCAGCUCGUGGUCGUGAGAUGUGGGGUUAAGUUCACACUACGAAGGCUCAAGCCCUCU
rnacentral:rRNA from 2 species